rnacentral:rRNA from 1 species
AUAAUAAUAUAAUUGCGUUAGGGGGAUGACUAGGCUAUAAUUAAUUGGCGUUAUUUUAGGCGAUAUAUUAUGGAACUGCGGAUAGUUGGGAAAUAAUGAUUCAUAAAUAUAGUGAAGAGAAUCAUCUCAGUAACUAGGGUAAAAUAGUAAUGGGCGGUUAGUAGUGGCGAGCGAAACCCGUAAUUUAUGUUAUUUUAUGAUUAGAAUUGUUUAAACGCAAACCUUAGGGGGUAAAAGUCCCGUAUAAUUUAAUGAAAUAAUAUAAUAGUAGUAUAGUUUAAUUUAAAAUUAUACAGUUUAUAAAACGCCCCGUUUUUUAAUUUAUAAUUAUAGUUGAUAGCGAAAAGUAGAGUGAUUGAACGAUGUAAAGAACUCACUGAGAGUGCAAUAGAACCUAAAACCUAAUGUAAAUCUAUUGAAGCUAAGGCAACAAUGUACCUUUUGCAUAAUGGACCAGUAAGUUAAAUUAAUUGGCGAGCUUAAUUUAGGAAGGCGUAAUUAAUAUAAUUAAGUUAAUUAAUUUAGACCCGAAGCUAUGUGAUCUAAUCAUGAACAGGUUAUAGACCGAACCGGUGAAUGUGGCAAUAUUCUCGGAUGAUUUGUGAUUAGGGGUGAUAGGCCUAUCAAACAUAGUGAUAGUUGGUUCUCCGCGAAACCUAUUUUAGUAGGAAUAAAAAAAUAUGGAUGGGGGGGUAUUAAAUUUUGUAAAUAAAAAUAAAUGAUUUGUAUUUAAAUUACGAAGAUUUGAGAAUACCUAAUCUAUAGGUUUAUAUCGGUCUAUUGGCGCAAACGUUUAUAGACGAGAGGGGAAUAACCCAGACCAUGAUUUAAGGUUCAUAAACUAUUGUUAAACAUAAGAUUUUAUUUAAUAUAUUAGGAGGUGGGUAUGGAAGCUAUCAUCCUUUAAAGAACGCGUUAUAGCGCACUAUUAUUAUAAUGUAUUUAAAUUAUAAGUUAAGUAAGAUCUAAAAUAUUGAAAUAAACAAUAUACCGAAAAUAUGGAUUUAUGGUAGUGGAGUGUAUUGUAUUUAGUAAAGAUUAAUUGAAAGAUUAGUUAAAUAAAUCAAUAGCAAUAAUGCUGGUAAGAGUAGCUUUUAAUGUGAGAAUCAUUAAUAUCGUAUAUUCUAGAGUUAUUACGGAAGAGUUAUUCACGUAAUGUUAAUCGACCCCUAAGGUAAAAACUAAAGUUUGGGGCUGAUGGGGUUAUUUGGGAUGACUUAAUUUAACUUAUUUAGGUAUUGAAGUUAAAGUAUUUAAAUAAAUUAAGUUAACUGGAAAAAACCCAAAUGUAGGUCGUAUUAAAACUGACACCGGUGGAUGAGUAGAGUAUACUAAGAUAACGAAUGAAUAGUGUUGAAGGAACUCGGCAAAUUAGUCCCGUAACUUAGGGAGAAGGGAUGCCUUUAAAGGUUACAAUAAAGUGGGGAUAGCGACUGUUUAAUAAAAACACAAAAUCCUGCAAAGUUGAAAAAUGAGGUAUAGGAUUUGACUUCUGCCCAGUGCUGCAAAAUGAAAAUAAUAAAUAUAGUUUAUUAAUAAAUUCCAGUAAACGGCGGCCGUAAUUCUGACGGUCCAAAGGUAGCGAAAUUCCUUGGCGGGUAAGUUCCGUCCUGCAUGAAUGAAGUAACGACUGUCCCACUGUCUCCAACACUAUUUCGGUGAAAAUGAAAUUGUCGUGCAGAUGCGAUAAAGUACAGUAAGACGAGAAGACCCCAUGCACCUUUACUAUAACCCUUCACUAAUUAUUAGAAAAUUUUUGUUUAGUAAGGUAGGAAUAUUAUAAUAAUGUAAAACUACCCUUUAAUUUUUUAAUAAUUGAAUAUAGGAGAAAUAUGUAUAUAUAAGAUGGAGGGUUGGUAGUUUAGCUGGGGCGGCUUCCUCCUAAAAAGUAACGGAGGUAAUUAAUUGAUUAUGGGGUUGUAUAAAAUUACAACUAUUGCUUAAUGGUAUCAAUAAUCAGAUAAACUUAUUUACAGAUAAGUUUAGUAAUAGAAACAUAAUGACACGGUAUAACUGUGGGGUAAGUAUAUCGUUAAAUGGAUAAAAGGUACGCUGGGGGUAACAGGCUAAUGAUUCUUUAAAGUUCAUAUUGACAGAAUCGUUUGGCACCUCGAUGUCGGCUCAUCAUAUCCUGAGGG